AAGCGAAAGCAUUAAGUAUUCCACCUGGGGAGUACGCCGGCAACGGUGAAACUCAAAGGAAUUGACGGGGGCCCGCACAAGCGGAGGAACAUGUGGUUUAAUUCGAUGAUACGCGAGGAACCUUACCCGGGCUUAAAUUGCACCUGAAUAAUGUGGAAACAUGUUAGCCGUAAGGCAGGUGUGAAGGUGCUGCAUGGUUGUCGUCAGCUCGUGCCGUGAGGUGUCGGCUUAAGUGCCAUAACGAGCGCAACCCUUAUCUUCAGUUACUAACAGGUCAUGCUGAGGACUCUGGAGAGACUGCCGUCGUAAGAUGUGAGGAAGGUGGGGAUGACGUCAAAUCAGCACGGCCCUUACGUCCGGGGCUACACACGUGUUACAAUGGGAGGUACAGAAGGCCGCUACCUGGCGACAGGAUGCCAAUCCCCAAAACCUCUCUCAGUUCGGAUCGAAGUCUGCAACCCGACUUCGUGAAGCUGGAUUCGCUAGUAAUCGCGCAUCAGCCAUGGCGCGGUGAAUACGUUCCCGGGCCUUGUACACACCGCCCGUC
rnacentral:rRNA from 1 species